rnacentral:rRNA from 1 species
GGUUAAGCGACUAAGCGUACACGGUGGAUGCCCUGGCAGUCAGAGGCGAUGAAGGGCGUGCUAAUCUGCGAUAAGCGCCGGUAAGGUGAUAUGAACCGUUAUAACCGGCGAUACCCGAAUGGGGAAACCCAGUGUGAUUCGUCACACUAUCAUUAACUGAAUCCAUAGGUUAAUGAGGCGAACCGGGGGAACUGAAACAUCUAAGUACCCCGAGGAAAAGAAAUCAACCGAGAUUCCCCCAGUAGCGGCGAGCGAACGGGGAGGAGCCCAGAGCCUGAAUCAGCAUGUGUGUUAGUGGAAGCGUCUGGAAAGGCGCGCGAUACAGGGUGACAGCCCCGUACACAAAAGCGCAUGUGCUGUGAGCUCGAUGAGUAGGGCGGGACACGUGGUAUCCUGUCUGAAUAUGGGGGGACCAUCCUCCAAGGCUAAAUACUCCUGACUGACCGAUAGUGAACCAGUACCGUGAGGGAAAGGCGAAAAGAACCCCGGCGAGGGGAGUGAAAAAGAACCUGAAACCGUGUACGUACAAGCAGUGGGAGCACAGGUUUACCUGUGUGACUGCGUACCUUUUGUAUAAUGGGUCAGCGACUUAUAUUCUGUAGCAAGGUUAACCGAAUAGGGGAGCCGGAGGGAAACCGAGUCUUAAUUGGGCGUUAAGUUGCAGGGUAUAGACUCGAAACCCGGUGAUCUAGCCAUGGGCAGGUUGAAGGUUGGGUAACACUAACUGGAGGACCGAACCGACUAAUGUUGAAAAAUUAGCGGAUGACCUGUGGCU